rnacentral:lncRNA from 1 species
GUUUCUUGUUAGUGAUUUGGAGCAUUCUUUCAUAGGUUAUUAAUAGUUUGCAAUUCUUCUUUCGAGAACUGUUUGCAGAACAUAGACUUGUGAAGCCAGAUCGGGCCUUAGAAUGGAGAAUGUUAGAGUGGGAAGGGGCCUUAGAAUGAAAAGACCUCGGAAUCUAGAAUGUCUAACGUGAAAAAGAGCCUUGGAAUAAGGCACCUGGGAAACUCUUUGGACAAAUCUGCAGGGUGACACCAUUAACCCCAAAGAAGUGAUCCAACUUCCUACAGAAGAUGGAAUUUUACCUGGGCCCGGAAGGAAGCCAGGGAAGCCAGGAGGCAGAGAUGUCUUGAACAGAAUGUCCCAUAAGGCAUCUCAGGCUCAAUAUGUCCACAACAGAACUCAUCAUCUUUCCCCUUAAACCCUCCCUUUCUUCCCAAUUUUCCCAUUACUCUUGAGAGUCCCAACAUUCUCCCGACACUCAGGAUAAUAAACUAGGUGUCAUCCUCCGCUCUUCCUCUCCU